rnacentral:sRNA from 1 species
GGAUGUGAGGGCGAUCUGGCUGCGACAUCUGUCACCCCAUUGAUUGCCAGCGUUGAUUCGGCUGAUCUGGCUGGCUAGGUGGGUGUCCCCUUCCUCCCUCACCGCUCCGUGUGCGUCCCUCCCGAAGCUGUGUGCUCAGUCGAAGAGGACGACCUUCCCCGAUAGGGGAGGACCGUUCUUUGGUCAAGGGUAUAUGACCAGCUGCGCUCCCCUUCUAGAACCUUAAAAUAAGCUCUCAAAAAAUGACUACAGGUCUUUUUUUUUUUCCAUGUCCCCCAUUGAGAAGUAGAGCUUAUUUU